CAGCCGCCGCGGUAAUGCGGAGGGAGCUAGCGUUGUUCGGAAUUACUGGGCGUAAAGCGCACGUAGGCGGCUUUGUAAGUUAGAGGUGAAAGCCUGGAGCUCAACUCCAGAACUGCCUUUAAGACUGCAUCGCUUGAAUCCAGGAGAGGUGAGUGGAAUUCCGAGUGUAGAGGUGAAAUUCGUAGAUAUUCGGAAGAACACCAGUGGCGAAGGCGGCUCACUGGACUGGUAUUGACGCUGAGGUGCGAAAGCGUGGGGAGCAAACAGGAUUAGAUACCCCUGUAGUCCCUGUCUCUUAUAC
rnacentral:rRNA from 1 species